UACAGAGGUCCCAAGCGUUGUUCGGAUUCAUUGGGCGUAAAGGGUGCGUAGGCGGCGGGGUAAGUCGGGUGUGAAAUCUCAGAGCUCAACUCUGAAACUGCACUCGAUACUGCUCUGCUUGAGGACUGGAGAGGAGACUGGAAUUCACGGUGUAGCAGUGAAAUGCGUAGAUAUCGUGAGGAAGACCAGUGGCGAAGGCGGGUCUCUGGACAGUUCCUGACGCUGAGGCGCGAAG
rnacentral:rRNA from 1 species